ACUACGGGGGGCUGCAGUGAGGAAUAUUGGUCAAUGGGCGGAAGCCUGAACCAGCCAAGUAGCGUGCAGGAUGACGGCCCUACGGGUUGUAAACUGCUUUUAUACGGGAAUAACGCGCCUUACGUGUAGGGCUUUGCAUGUACCGUAUGAAUAAGGACCGGCUAAUUCCGUGCCAGCAGCCGCGGUAAUACGGAAGGUCCGGGCGUUAUCCGGAUUUAUUGGGUUUAAAGGGAGCGUAGGCCGCAUGUCAAGCGUGCUGUGAAAUGUCCGGGCUCAACCCGGGCCUUGCAGCGCGAACUGGCGUGCUUGAGUCCGCGGAAAGCAGGCGGAAUUCGUCGUGUAGCGGUGAAAUGCUUAGAUAUGACGAAGAACCCCGAUUGCGAAGGCAGCUUGCUGCAGCGGAACUGACGCUGAUGCUCGAAAGCGCGGGUAUCGAACAGGAUUAGAUACCCUUGUAGUC
rnacentral:rRNA from 1 species